AGUGAACGCUGGCGGUAGGCCUAACACAUGCAAGUCGAACGGCAGCACAGUAAGAUCUUGCUCUUACGGGUGGCGAGUGGCGGACGGGUGAGGAAUACAUCGUAAUCUACUUUUUCGUGGGGGAUAACGUAGGGAAACUUACGCUAAUACCGCAUACGACCUACGGGUGAAAGCAGGGGAUCUUCGGACCUUGCGCGAUUGAAUGAGCCGAUGUCGGAUUAGUUAGUUGGCGGGGUAAAGGACGACCAAGGCAACGAUCCGUAGCUGGCCUGAGAGGAUGAUCAGCCACACUGGAACUGAAACACGGUCCAAACUCCUACGGGAGGAACCAGUGGGGAAUAUUGGACAAUGGGCGAAAGCCUAAUCCAGCCAUACCGCGUAGGUAAAGAAGGCCUUCGGUUUGUAAAGCCCUUUUGUUGGGAAAAAAAAUCAUCAGAUUAAUACCCCGCUGUUCUGACGGUACCCAAACAAUAAGCAACGGCUAACUUCGUG
rnacentral:rRNA from 1 species